rnacentral:rRNA from 1 species
AUGGUCGAUCGUCUCGGCACGAAUCUUAAAGCAGCCCAGAGCCUUAGCUCGCCGGAAACCAUCGAAUCGGCAGUUUCCAGCGAGCCAGUAGGAGCUGGUGCUCCGCUUCCUGUUGCCCACCGUCGGGUCGUCCUUGACUCAGCCAUGCCCUCCCCCUCGUCGUCCUCGUCUCCGAUGUCGGUAAGCAACACCCCUCCCCCCUAUGUUAGGAGAUCAAUGGAGAUCAUCUCAAGGUACUUCAAGCAAGUGCUCUAUGAUGUUGGGGAGCUCAGAGGAGAGAUGAUCAAGUCACCAACCAGCCGGACUCCUACCAAGAUUUGCACUAGUCCAAGAUGGUAUCAUACUUCAAGUGACAACAUGAGUUGUUCUGAUGGCAUCAACAUCCCCGAUGGCAAGUUCUACCUAGAAGAUGCUGACUAUGCAUGCCGGCCAAUAUUCUUCCACCUUUCAGGAAAACCAGUCAUUAACAAGGAGCUACAGACGGUUGCAAAGACCAUUGAGAAAGGGAUUCAAACAAAAGAUAUUGUAGAUGAGGCCAUGACAGUGCAGGUCGAGGAGGCGGAGGAAGAAGAUCAUAAUGGCAAGGAGAUCGGCAGCGCUACAACAAGUCACGCGGUAGAAGUUUUUCUAUUAAGAAGAUUACACUUUGGCAAGAGGAUUCUCGUGAUUGAGAAUUUGCUAGCUAUUGGUAUGAGAUCCGUCCGCGGCGACGGAUUACUUGCCGGUUACUUCUACUCCGACGGGAGGUGCCUUGUUUGCCAAGGUAUUGCUUGUCAGUUGUUGUUACCAUAG